rnacentral:rRNA from 1 species
UACAGAGGUCCCAAGCGUUGUUCGGAUUCAUUGGGCGUAAAGGGCUCGUAGGCGGCCAGCGCAAUUCAGUUGUGAAAUCUCCGGGCUUAACUCGGAAAGGUCAACUGAUACUGCGCGGCUAGAGUGCAGAAGGGGCAACUGGAAUUCUCGGUGUAGCGGUGAAAUGCGUAGAUAUCGAGAGGAACACCUGCGGCGAAGGCGGGUUGCUGGGCUGACACUGACGCUGAUGCGCGAAAGCCAGGGGAGCGAACGGG